AUCCCCAGGGACAUGCAAAGAGGGGCGAGGGUUUGAACGUGAAACCAAAUCCCUUGGGUGAGGGAGAGAGGAAGAAAUGGGCCAAGGAAAUCAAUGUCAUGAGUGAUUGUUUGUUUGAUGAGGGUUUUGGUGUUCAACGGGUGAAAUUCCUAUUGUAUUGGAAAGAAUGAAUAAGAUGGAUGCUCAAGCAAUGAGAGGGAAGGACACUUCCAAAGGAAAAAGGCCAACCAGGAUUAGAUAUAGUUGGUUUUCCACUAAUUUGUUUUAGUAGAGAAUGCAUCUAAUAUGGCCUAAGGUAGAGCAUGAUCUAGGGUGGUGCUUGACCAACAUCAAGGAAACUAUGAGUACAUGCUUAAUCAAUCGUACAAACAUACCUUGGGUGCUGUCAUCCAGAGUUGAGAGGGAAAUAACCUAGAUUGCAUGCUAAGGUCCCUAAGAAAUAUCUUAGUGGAACAGGAAGUGAUUGAGCAAUGAAGGAGGUGGGCUUGGAAGAGUUAAGUAGGCUCUAAAGAGGUAAGAGGGUGAGAGUACCAACCAAGUGUUAAUAUUAGGACGUUCUAUCAAUCGAGGAAGGGACAACACCUGGAGAUACAGGAAGUGAGGAUCCUGAAAUGAGUAAUGAUGAAUUAUGUGAAAAACAUGAUCACUUGCUAGUUCCAUUCUUUCUAUGUUCAUUCAAUCUACCCAGAGUGAAUCGGUCUCUAAGGGACCAAAUAAGAUAUUUUUUCCAAUGAGUACAAGAAAGUGAUGAAGUUACCUCGACUAUUGACCCAUGUGUGUUUGUUGAAAUGAAUUGGAUGAGAGUUUUAUUUUCCUACCAACCAAAUUGAAUGAAUGCAAAAGAACACUUCUAUUAGGGUUUCAACUUCCAGGAAAAAACUUCAAAUUAGGAGAGCGAUAUUCCCAGUGAACUAAUUGUACCCCAAACCAACAUAGGUGAACAAGUGGAGUAUACUAGGGAACCCGAGAGAACCAUGUUAAAGGAACUUGAAAAAAUGAACCAAUAACUUCGGGAGAAGGGAUGCUCUCCCUCCUAUAUUUGGGUUGGGAAAGUGACACAUAUUGGGGGUAGUGAUUGUUUAUUAGAAACACAGGACUCUUCCAAGUGGUAACAUGACGUAUAGAGUCUAACACCUUCCUGGUGGUGGAAGGUUGGAAGGAUAAGUGUGAUAUGAUAUUCUAAUGGAAUGGUAAACAACAACAAUAACUCUAACUAUCCUAAGGUAGAGAAAUUCCUUGUUGCAUAAGUAGUGACUUGCAUGAAUGGUGUAACAACUACCUCACUUUCUCUGACAUGGACCUAGUGAAAUUGAAAUCUCCAUGAAUAUGUAGAGUACCCAUGGCUAGAUGGUAAGAUCCAAUGCACCUUGAUUAUAGCUUCGUAGUGACAACCUAUUAUGAACAUGUGGGAUAGGUGGGAUGUGGAGAACCACAAAUCUUGGAAUACCACUCUUUCGUCUAAGGAUGCCCAACUGCUUAUUUCUCUACAUUCAUUCUUAGGAUGGGACACUACAUAAUUUCUCUAGGGAAAAUUCCUCUUAAAGAGUAACGGAGGUGUGUAAAGGGAUUUCUAUAAUCAAGCUACAUGGUUUAAGCAUGCAUGAUUAUUAGACUCACAUAGAUCAGAUUGCAGAUUGAAAACCAUUGAAUCCUAUAUAAUAGAAUAUUGAUCGAAUUAUAUGGGAAAACUUAGACCUUUUCAUCUUAUUUAUCCAUUUCAUAGGGGGGAGGGGGAAUAAAUUAGAGAGAGCCUCACUCAGUUUCUCAAUCAAUAAUUGAGCAAGGUGAAUGGUUCAUUCGAGUGUCGUGGGAAAUAACAUGUGUAGAGGUGGGGAGUGAAUUGUAGGUUGGGGUUAG
rfam:Picea glauca, whole genome shotgun sequence.